UCGUGUACCAAAUUUUAAAAAACAAUCAUUUAGAUUUUGGAGUGCUAAGAUCCAAAGUCUUGAGGGAAAUAGCCCAGAUCGUACACUAAGGUCCCCAAGCAAUCACUUAGUGGAAAAGGAAGUUCUCGAGCGAUGACAACCAAGAGGUGGGCUUGGAGGCAGCCAUCCUUUGAAGAAAGCAUAAUAGCUCACUAGUCUAACUCCAUGGCAUCGAAAAUGUCUCAGGGCUCAAGUGAUUCACCGGAGCGAUGAGACCUUGAAAGUAGCUUUUUCAAGUAUCAGUAGUGGACGUUUUGUCAAUCAGGGAAGGUUUUUGGUGACAAGAAUUGGAGAUAUCAUAAGUG
rnacentral:ncRNA from 1 species